rnacentral:rRNA from 1 species
UACGUAGGGUGCAAGCGUUGUCCGGAAUUAUUGGGCGUAAAGAGCGUGUAGGCGGCCAGGUAGGUCCGCUGUGAAAACUCGAGGCUCAACCUCGAGAUGUCGGCGGAAACCAUCUGGCUAGAGUCCGGAAGAGGAGAGUGGAAUUCCUGGUGUAGCGGUGAAAUGCGCAGAUAUCAGGAAGAACACCCGUGGCGAAGGCGGCUCUCUGGGACGGUACUGACGCUGAGACGCGAAAGCGUGGGUAGCAAACAGG